rnacentral:tRNA from 1 species
AAAAAAUCUCAGUUGGGAGAGCGUUAGACUGAAGAUAUAAAGGUCCCUAGUUCGAUUCCGGGUUUCAAUU